UCCCUGAUGGUUCAGUGAUUAAGACUCUAUGCUGCCACUGUAGGGGUGCAGGUUCUAUCCCUGGUCAGGGAA
rnacentral:tRNA from 1 species